rnacentral:pre_miRNA from 2 species
AUGUUUCAGUUUGGCAGUGCAUUGCUAGCUGGCUGUUGUGUACGUGUGUUAACAGUUGCUAGCUGUACUCCAUAUUGUUGCAUUC